rnacentral:rRNA from 1 species
GAUGAACGCUGGCGGCGUGCCUAAUACAUGCGAGUCGAGCGAACGGACGAGAAGCUUGCUUCUCUGAUGUUAGCGGCGGACGGGUGAGUAACACGUGGAUAACCUACCUAUAAGACUGGGAUAACUUCGGGAAACCGUAGCUAAUACCGGAUAAUAUUUUGAACCGCAUGGUUCAAAAGUGAAAGACGGUCUUGCUGUCACUUAUAGAUGGAUCCGCGCUGCAUUAGCUAGUUGGUAAGGUAACGGCUUACCAAGGCAACGAUGCAUAGCCGACCUGAGAGGGUGAUCGGCCACACUGGAACUGAGACACGGUCCAGACUCCUACGGGAGGCAGCAGUAGGGAAUCUUCCGCAAUGGGCGAAAGCCUGACGGAGCAACGCCGCGUGAGUGAUGAAGGUCUUCGGAUCGUAAAACUCUGUUAUUAGGGAAGAACAUAUGUGUAAGUAACUGUGCACAUCUUGACGGUACCUAAUCAGAAAGCCACGGCUAACUACGUGCCAGCAGCCGCGGUAAUACGUAGGUGGCAAGCGUUAUCCGGAAUUAUUGGGCGUAAAGCGCGCGUAGGCGGUUUUUUAAGUCUGAUGUGAAAGCCCACGGCUCAACCGUGGAGGGUCAUUGGAAACUGGAAAACUUGAGUGCAGAAGAGGAAAGUGGAAUUCCAUGUGUAGCGGUGAAAUGCGCAGAGAUAUGGAGGAACACCAGUGGCGAAGGCGACUUUCUGGUCUGUAACUGACGCUGAUGUGCGAAAGCGUGGGGAUCAAACAGGAUUAGAUACCCUGGUAGUCCACGCCGUAAACGAUGAGUGCUAAGUGUUAGGGGGUUUCCGCCCCUUAGUGCUGCAGCUAACGCAUUAAGCACUCCGCCUGGGGAGUACGACCGCAAGGUUGAAACUCAAAGGAAUUGACGGGGACCCGCACAAGCGGUGGAGCAUGUGGUUUAAUUCGAAGCAACGCGAAGAACCUUACCAAAUCUUGACAUCCUUUGACAACUCUAGAGAUAGAGCCUUCCCCUUCGGGGGACAAAGUGACAGGUGGUGCAUGGUUGUCGUCAGCUCGUGUCGUGAGAUGUUGGGUUAAGUCCCGCAACGAGCGCAACCCUUAAGCUUAGUUGCCAUCAUUAAGUUGGGCACUCUAAGUUGACUGCCGGUGACAAACCGGAGGAAGGUGGGGAUGGCGUCAAAUCAUCAUGCCCCUUAUGAUUUGGGCUACACACGUGCUACAAUGGACAAUACAAAGGGCAGCGAAACCGCGAGGUCAAGCAAAUCCCAUAAAGUUGUUCUCAGUUCGGAUUGUAGUCUGCAACUCGACUACAUGAAGCUGGAAUCGCUAGUAAUCGUAGAUCAGCAUGCUACGGUGAAUACGUUCCCGGGUCU